rnacentral:lncRNA from 1 species
CAAACCUAGGGCCAAGCCCAAUACAAAAGUCCAUAAAAUUAAAAUAACCUAAAUUCCAACUAAAAUAAUUAAAAUUGCUAAAAUUAAUUAAAAUUGGAUGUCCUCAUCACUAAGUCUUAUUGGAUCGAAGACCCCUUAAGUGAUGCAUGCAUUCUCUUCUAAGUGCUCUUGGAUUAAAGGAAUGUCAAGAGGGCAUUUGUAUAUGGCCUUCUUUCACGUGUCUGUCUGUCAACUUUAGUGUCACUUCAUGGUACAAGAAAGAAUUGUGCUAGACCAUCAUGUUUCAGCGAGGGGACUUGAAGUUAACAAGGCAAAAAUUGAUACAAUUGCAAAGCUACCACCACCCACCAAUGUCAAAGGCAUUCGAAGUUUCUUAGAGCAUGCUGAAUUAUAUAGGAGGUUCAUCAAAGACUUUUCAAAAGUAGCUAAACCCCUAUGCAAUCUUUUAGAGAAGGACACAAUAUUUGCAUUUGAUGACGACUGCUUAAGGGCAUUUGAAACCAUAAAGGCAAAAUUGGUAACUGCUCCAGUGAUGGUAGUGCCAAAUUGGGAUCAAUCAUUUGAGGUUAUGUGUGAUGCUGGUGACUACACAGUAGGGGCGAUUUUAGGUCGAAGGUGUGAUAAAAUUUUUCGGGCAAUCCACUAUGUCAGUAAAACCCUUAAUGGAGCUCAACUCAAUUACACCACAACAGAGAAGGAAAUGCUAGCAGUAGUGUUUGCUUGUGACAAAUUCAGAUCCUACCUCAUUGGUACCAAAGUGAUCAUUUACACAGACCAUGCUGCAAUCCGAUAUCUCUUUGAAAAGAAGGAUACCAAGCCACGCCUUCGAUGGAUAUUGCUACUACAGGAAUUCGAUGUAGAAAUUCGAGAUGAGAAAGGCAGUGAAAACGUCGUUGCAGACCAUCUCACACUGUUAGAGAAUGAUAAAGUAGUAGAUGACAGUCAAAUUCGAGAAACUUUCCCUGGCGAGGUCUUGCUAGCUGUAUCAACAAGGAUCCCAUGGUAUGCUGAUUUUGUCAAUUAUUUGGUGUAUGGAAAAUUGCCGCUUGACUUGACCUUCCAUCAAAAGAAGAAAUUCUUACAUGAUAUCAAGUCAUAUAUGUGGGAUGACCUAAUAUUGUUCAAGCCGUGUGCUGAUAAAAUAAUCAGGCGGUGCGUCCCUGUGGAAGAAACACAAUCAAUUAUGC